UACGUAGGGUGCUAGCGUUGUUCGGAAUCAUUGGGCGUAAAGCGCGUGUAGGUGGUUAGUAAAGUUGGGUGUGAAAUCCCUCGGCUCAACCGAGGAAGGGCACUCAAAACUAACUAGCUUGAGAGUGGUAGAGGAAGGUGGAAUUCCUAGUGUAGAGGUGAAAUUCGUAGAUAUUAGGAGGAAUACCGGAGGCGAAGGCGGCCUUCUGGACCAUUUCUGACACUGAGACGCGAAAGCGUGGGUAGCAAACAGG
rnacentral:rRNA from 1 species